UACGUAGGGUGCGAGCGUUGUCCGGAAUUAUUGGGCGUAAAGAGCUUGUAGGCGGUUUGUCGCGUCUGCCGUGAAAGCCCAGGGCUUAACCCUGGGUCUGCGGUGGGUACGGGCAGACUAGAGUGUGGUAGGGGAGACUGGAAUUCCUGGUGUAGCGGUGAAAUGCGCAGAUAUCAGGAGGAACACCGGUGGCGAAGGCGGGUCUCUGGGCCGAUACUGACACUGAGGAGCGAAAGCGUGGGGAGCGAACAGG
rnacentral:rRNA from 1 species